ACGGGUGAGUAACACGUGAGUAACCUGCCCUUGACUCUGGGAUAAGCCUGGGAAACUGGGUCUAAUACCGGAUAUGACUCCUCAUCGCAUGGUGGGGGGUGGAAAGCUUUUGUGGUUUUGGAUGGACUCGCGGCCUAUCAGCUUGUUGGUGGGGUAAUGGCCUACCAAGGCGACGACGGGUAGCCGGCCUGAGAGGGUGACCGGCCACACUGGGACUGAGACACGGCCCAGACUCCUACGGGAGGCAGCAGUGGGGAAUAUUGCACAAUGGGCGCAAGCCUGAUGCAGCGACGCCGCGUGAGGGAUGACGGCCUUCGGGUUGUAAACCUCUUUCAGUAGGGAAGAAGCGAAAGUGACGGUACCUGCAGAAGAAGCGCCGGCUAACUACGUGCCAGCAGCCGCGGUAAUACGUAGGGCGCAAGCGUUAUCCGGAAUUAUUGGGCGUAAAGAGCUCGUAGGCGGUUUGUCGCGUCUGCUGUGAAAGACCGGGGCUCAACUCCGGUUCUGCAGUGGGUACGGGCAGACUAGAGUGCAGUAGGGGAGACUGGAAUUCCUGGUGUAGCGGUGAAAUGCGCAGA
rnacentral:rRNA from 1 species